rnacentral:rRNA from 1 species
GACGGAGGGUGCUAGCGUUGUUCGGAAUUACUGGGCGUAAAGGGCGCGCAGGCGGCUGCUCAAGUCAGGCGUGAAAGGCCUGGGCUCAACCCGGGAAUUGCGCUUGAGACUGGGCUGGCUUGAGUGCGGGAGAGGAUGGUGGAAUUCCCAGUGUAGAGGUGAAAUUCGUAGAUAUUGGGAAGAACACCGGUGGCGAAGGCGGCCAUCUGGACCGCAACUGACGCUGAGGCGCGAAAGCGUGGGGAGCAAACAGG